AUCAAGUGUAUGUAAACACACUGAUUAUUUUCCCAUUAUCUUAUAGUAUUUCACAUUUCAAUAAAGAGCAAAUAAAAGAAAACAAGUUAAUAAGUUCUGGCAGUCAUACAGAAUAAUAAUAUCAUUACUGAUGAGGGGAAACAGGAACCGUUUUUCAUUCCGUUAGUAACGUCAUGUCUGAGCUAUUCCUAUAGAAGAUUCAGAAACAAGAAUAUAUGAUUACAGCCGUGCUGGUUCCCCUCUCCUCACUCUCUGAAUUUGGAGCUCUUGCUGAUUAGGUGCUGAGUUGAAUCAGGUGAGUUAAAUGAGGUGCUAAGCUCUUCAGUGCCAGGCAGGACUGCAGUCUGACAUCUCUGACAUAAAUUCAAGCGUUCAGUGAAUGACUGUAAAAUGAACGAAUGAUUUUUGUGGUAUGUUUACUAUACGUCUGUAAAUACAGUGCAGAAGAUAAAUGAAUGAGUUUGGCUUCAUUUUAAAUAAACUGAGGUGUUUUUUCGUUAACAUAUACUUUUUUCUCCACCCUUUUGUGCUCAGCCAGAGCAGCUCGAUGGUGAGAUGUAAAAAGCCUGUCUCUGAAUAUUAUGGGAGGAGCUUGUUAGCUACCAGCUGACCUAGGGGUGGACAAUAUGACGAUAAUUUAUUCUUAUUGUGGAAAAUUACGUGAUACAUUCUCCAUCAGUCUGAAGAACCAUUAAGCAUGCAGAUAGUUCUUUAAGGGUUAAUGGUUUUUUAUAAAUCCACUGUCUUUACCAAGGAACCCUUGAAGAACCGUUUUUUUUUUUUUUGAUUGUAUAUAGAAUAUUUUGCUUGUUUAAAUGGUUCUCUGCUUGGCAAAAUGGUUCUUGGGAUUGAUGGAGAAUGUGUUGUCUAUGUGUUGUGUAACCAUACGUUCUAUAUAGAACCUUUUGGAAAGGGUUCUGUAUAGCACCAAAUCUUUCUUCUAUUGUUCUAAGUUUGGUAUGGUCACAUUUUGGUCAUUUAAGCAUGAAAUGGUUCUAUAUAGAACUCAUGGUUCUAAACAGAGCCAUUGCCUUUUCUAAAGAACCCUUAAAGAACCAUGUUUUUAAGACUGUAAUGAAACACACCUGAUCCAGUAAAUGAAGGCCUGGAGGGGAAUCUGAAUAUCUGUGUUUUGGAUCUGAACUGUUUAGGGUGGGAGGCCAGGACUGGGCACCUCUGCACUAGUGUAUCUCAGAGAUGUCCAGUUCAAGUUCCGGAGAUCUACCACCCUGCAGAGUUCAGCUCCAACCCUGAUCUGACACACCUGAUCCAGUCUGAGAGAAAGGUGAGGCUGAAGGAGAUCAUCAGGAGGAAUACCAAACACGCUGCUCUGGUCUUACUGUCGUGACCUGUCCCUCAGGGCUGCUUCCCCAGCUCUCUCUACAUGGCUUGACUCCACACACUGAGCUGUGGACUGCACUGCCCCGUCCUGCUGAUUAGAGGAAACCAGCAGAAUGUCCUCACCUUCUACUGCCAUCUGAGAGAAAGGUGAGGCUGAAGGAGAUCAUCAGGAGGAAUUCCAAACACGCUGCUCUGGUCUUACUGUGAGUCCUGAUCCCAGUUCAUACUCAUUAACAGCUGAACUUCAUAAGGAUUCUGUUCAAUAUUCAGCUCAAAACCAAAGAAUGCAAAUUCAAAUAUUGUUUGAAAUUCCUCAGUCAGGCUCAGUUGUUCUCAUGAAGUUAAUCCCAUAACUAAUGAAGAUCAAAGAGCAGAAGCCGUGCACAUUACUGUGUGUCUGUCUGUGUCAGGUCAUGACCUGUCCCUCAGGGCUGCUUCCCCAGCUCUCUCUACAUGGCUUGACUGGACACACUGAGCUGUGGACUGCACUGCCCUGUCCUGCUGAUUAGAGGAAACCAGCAGAAUGUCCUCACCUUCUACUGCCAAUGGUGAAAAAGGAGAUGAACAACACAAUUUCACAGGUUUGUUGUCUUAACAGAGGUAAGUAGUAGUAGCAGUAGUAGAGGUAAGUAGUCUUGUUCUUGAAGUGCGGUGCAUUGAAUGAUGUUGCAAACAGCAUGACUUCUUACCGGUCAGUGAGACGGAGGAUAAUAAGGGAUGUAAGUAGGAUAGAAAAAGAAAGCUACACAGUUCAGUUCUGCAUGAACAGGAAUAGACCCUUUUCACAAAAUACUGGAAAUACAGAAGCGCUGGAUAAACAAAUUCCUGUUCUGCCUCAGACACUCCCACAUUCUCAUCACUUCAGCUCAUCACCCAAUGUUUUACCUUUUUAAUCGUUGCUAAUCGUCUCUGGGUCUGUUAAACAGUUUACAGCUGGAGAGACUUAAAGAAAUCAGUGACAAAUUAACAAAUACGCGAGCAGGAGACGUCUCUACUGAAUGAAUGGCUCAGUCUCCAACCGCUCCAUAUUCUCUAUCUAGUGAACUAAUAAAAACAGCCUGUAUGCCCAAAUAUUUCAUUAUAUUAAAGCAGAAGGAAGACGACUACAUCCAGCCACGGAUAACAAGGCUCUCUGCUUAACAGUUAAAGUUCGAUUAAGGUCUAGAGGACAUUUUUUCAUGUUUCUUAGUGUACUUAUAGGUUUAGAUAGUGAUUUGGGACUCGGUCCAGAAUAUCUCGUGCCCAAAAGCUCUUGGCUUCUUUAAAGUUUUGGCAGAUGAAAAGCAUCUGAAACAACACAAUUUGAGCUCAAAUAAUCUUAAGUGCAGUAGAAAACUGUGAAAUAGUGAUUGAUGCUUGUACAUGAAGGUGCACUGUGAAAAGUGCUCUCCUCUAUUAACAGGAAUAGGUAAAUACAGGGUGAUUCAGAAAGAUUCAUCUGAUUUCAAAAUGAUUUAUUUCACUUGUAAAUCAUUACAGAAUAAUGCAGUAGAGUGUAAAUUGUUUAAGUGAGCAUAAAGUUUAUUAUGUAAUUGUAUAUGUGCUCAGUAUGAACCUCCUCCAGCUGUACGGACAACAUCAACGCCAUAUUCAGAUUCAUCCCAUACUCGAUUGAGCAUGUCGGGUGUCGCUGCACUCACGGCUCUUUCAGUGCGAUUUCGGAGAUCAUCCGGUGUUGUGGAACCAACGACAAACACUCCGAGCUGUUGGAGCUUCACUGCCCACAUAAAUCGCGCUGCACAGUUAUGACUGAUUCACUCUUAUUGAAAUGGUGAACGCAGAACGCUUUCUGCUCAGGGGUCGCUUCACCUCGCAGACUGAAGGGAGCCAGUCAGAAACUCUAUGACUGCCUCUUUCAGUUGGAUUGUGAUUGGUUCCUAGGUGACUCACAGUUGUAGAAAUACGGUGCUUUGAAAUGGGAUUAAUCUUUUUGAAUCACCCUGUACUAUGAAAUGUGAUGCAUAGUGUACUGUAGUGUCAGAGUCAGACAUGUUGCAGAUUUUGGCUGAGUUUGUUGUUUCAGAUGCUUUUUAUCUGCAAAAACCUUGAAGAAGCCAAGAGCUCUGUGGUAGGACGAGAUAUUUUGGACCGAGUCCUGAAUCAAUUUCUACACCCUGCAUAAGUGCACUAAGAAACAUAAGUCAUUAAAAAACUACACGUUAAUGGAACUUUAAUUGUUAAGCAGAGAGCCUUGUUAUCCGUGGCUGGAUGUAGUCGUCUUCCUUCUGCUUUAAUAUAAUGAAAUAUUUGGGCAUACAGGCUGUUUUUAUUAGUUCACUAGAUAGAGAAUAUGGAGUGGUUGGAGACUGAGCCAUUCAUUCAGUAGAUUUUAGGCACCCAAGCACAUUAUUUAAUUAAUUAGAACACAUACAGGUGAACAUAAAAACAGGAAAAAGAAAGCAGAACGUCUCAUGUCAAAGUUUGGGUCCAGAUUUCACCUCCCAGUGUGUGUUUGUUCAGUUCCAUCACCAGCUCAUCCCUUAGCCAAUCAGAGGUAUCGUAUAUCUGUAAUAUUAUAGGCAAAUUUUUAUACCAAUUCUGAAAUCUCAUUGGCUGAGCAGUGUUUCGAGCUGUAUGUACAUGUUUAUUGCAAACAUUGUAGAAACCUUAUUUAAUCUAAUGUUUAUUUUUGUAUGUGUCCAGGUUUGCACCGGAAAUGAUGCGACGUAUUUUGCGGUCAGCCUUGACCAACUGUUAGUUAACCAAGCAGACCUGUCAUUUCAGCUGGGCUGGGAAAUGAAAGGAGAGACUGUUCAAAGACAGGCUUUGAAAGACUGCAUAUUUGGUGUCAGCAACAUAAAUUACUGACGCUGAUGGUCUUUCCUGAUGUGGUCAAGAAGCGGCCGCGUUAUGCACCAGAAAGGGAGGGGUGCGUUCCCAGAAACACAAGCCGUAGUUGACUUGUUAAUUGAACCUUUGCUUUAUUUUGUAACUGUAGAUGAAAGUGACUCAUUAAAAGGUCUCAUCAUUUUUGUGUUUAGCGCCAUCUGGUGGUAAUGAGGAGGUCUGUGUUAAUAACGGACCAAUCAGCCAAUGAAAUGUUAACAGAUCAGCCAAUGAGGUGUCCUGUUAGAAGGAGAGUGACUCAAAAUGGAGGAAGAAGAACAGCUCCAAGGUCAGGAAACUGGGUCUGGAUUUUGGCCUCUGGAUCUUCAUUCCAUGCUGAAAAGUUCCUGGUUGUUGGUCUGAGUUCAUUCAGCUGGAUUUUCUGCAGCACAAAUAACCUUCCCAGAAUGCAAGACGCCAAGAAUCUCAUGGACUUAUUGAUCUUACACACCAGUUUUGCAUACAUUUGCAUAUUGAUGAGCAAGCAACCAAUCAGAGAAGCCAAUUAAAUAAAAAAAAUCAAACGAGUCUUUAUAAGGCUUGUGAUGUGAACGCUGUUCUCGACGACGGUGAAGACGAGAAAAAACACUAAUAAACAGGUAUUUCUACCACGAACGAGAAGCCUAGACACAUAGAGGAGAGUGUGUAACUGCGCCAUCUGCUGGUGAUGAGGAAGGACAAUGCGGAACUGCGCCGUCUGCUGGCGAUGAGGAGGGACAGUGCAGAACUGCACCAUCUGCUGGUGAUGAGGAGGGACAGUGCAGAACUGUGCCAUCUGCUGGCGAUGAGGAGCAAAACAGUUUUUGACUGCUUUCAUUUUUUAUACUUUCAACUUAAAACGCUCAUUAGCGCCCUCUAGCGGUCAUUUUCGUGUCGGGCCAAAAUGCAGUAUUUGCGGUAACAACAACAAAAAAGCCCAAAAGUACAAAAUAAACAAAUAGUUUCAAACUGAGAUUUUAACAUGAUUGUCUAACAUUACACUAUAUUAUGUUACUGAAAUACUUUAGCAGUACUAUUUGGAGUAAAUAUAGUAAAUUACAUGUACAAUACAAAUAUAGUUCAUUUUUUUCUUAUCUCACUGGAUGAGGGAGUGGCAUAACUUUCUGGAUGGCCAAAUCAAAGUUUGAGAGAGCCGGUUUAUAAGGAGUCUGGUCUCUUCCAGUUUCCACCUUUAUCUCAAAAAAUAUCACUGCUAAACAGCAGAGGGUGCCCAAGAGCGGGUCCUCAGUGAACGGGGGUGAACGGAGCUAAACGGCUAAAAUUGAAAAGUUAAAACUGUUUCGAAUCGUUUACACAGAACUUCACUAAAAAAGCAAAGAAAACCUCACCUGUACGUUUCCUUUUCUACAGCAAACAGACGCUGACAUUACCGGAUACUG